rnacentral:lncRNA from 1 species
UGACUUUAAAGAUAUGGAGUAUGAAACAAGACAAUUGUGUCCAUGAUUUGCAAGCACAUAAUAAAGAAAUUUAUACUAUCAAAUGGAGUCCAACAGGACCAGGGACUAAUAAUCCAAAUGCCAACCUUAUGUUAGCAAGUGCAUCCUUUGAUUCUACUGUUAGGUUAUGGGAUGUAGACCGAGGGAUAUGCAUCCAUACCUUGACAAAACACCAAGAGCCUGUGUACAGUGUAGCUUUCAGUCCUGAUGGCAGGUAUCUGGCAAGUGGUUCUUUUGACAAAUGUGUACACAUCUGGAACACGCAGACAGGUGCUCUAGUUCACAGCUAUAGGGGAACAGGUGGAAUAUUUGAAGUUUGCUGGAAUGCAGCAGGAGACAAAGUUGGAGCCAGUGCAUCAGAUGGUUCAGUUUGUGUAUUAGACCUUCGGAAAUAGCGCUACUAGUUGGAAGCCAUGGACCGACUAUGAAUGUGUACAUAGCCAAAAUGACUGUCCCUGACCCAUGUACUGCUAUAGUCCCACUUGAACCAUGGCCAGUCCACUACAGCCAAAUCUAAAAGAAAUAUAUACAUACAGUGUAUAUAAACAAAAUUGCACCCUGAAGAUGACAGAGUUUUGUCACAGCUUGUGAAUUCUGUUCACCAAGUGCUGGAAUCUAAUCUGCUGUGCCCCUAAA